AACAUCCCAGGGAAUUGUGUCACUCCCAUUGAGCAGGUGUGGGGGCCUCUCCCACAUGGUCCAGGUCCACCACUCUGUCAAAGGUCGCACAGCCCAGACAAAAACAGGACACAGCAGUGUGUGAAUGAGCCGGGCUUUCUCCUUCCCUCCACGUAAUAAAAGGUGCCUGAGGUUGUUGAAACACAGUCCAUUUCUCCUGGGAAUGACAAGAAUUUGAGGGAUGCUGACUUUCAAGGAAUACUGCAUGACAGGCAUCAAGAUAAACCUGAUGAAGAAAACAUAGGCCAGAAUCUCGGAAUCGGGAGCAAAGUAAUACAGCUUCGGGGACAGGCACGUAAUGAGGUCAUGAUGUAGCAGACUCCCUGCAGGACUGGCGGCCCCUGUUCCCUGGGCUGUUCUGGCUCUUUCAGGACUGCACAGUGUAUCUGAGAGAGGAUUUUCAGGAGGCCAGAAAAUCAAGCUGGAGGGAUUCUCAGCGUGUUGGGCGAUUGCUACCUGUUUUGAGUCAGACCAUUGCCACGUCCUUUUCCCCACCUUGGAGACUUCAGCCAGACUAAUCUUCCUUAGAAAUUACUUUCAUCUGUCUCCUUGCUCAAGCAUUUCCGAAAGCUCAGUGCACUGCACUACGUCAGCCUCUGUGUCCUCCAGGAUCUGAUCCUGCUAUUCUGGAGAACAAACUCCUCCCACCAUCCAAGUGCCCCUCAGCAAAUUGCUCAAAUGUCGGUGUGCUCUCAUGAACAGAAACGAUGGCACAGUGGGUCCUGCUCAAGACUUCCUCUCAAUUAUUCAUAGGUCUUGGGGGUUUUUUGUCUGAAUAUCAGGCAAAGAGGAAGGACAGCUACGAUGGAGGAGUCUCCUACCUCCCUUGUGGUCGUCACUGUAGUGCUCAGUUGAAUGGUGUGUCCAUUGGGGUUGGAGUCCCCAUCCUGUUCUGGGUCCUGGCCCCCCACAGGCUCCAGGGACAUAACCCUUCCAGUUCAGGAUCAUGUGCUCGGGCACUGUUCCCUGAGGUGGGACUCUGGGCUGUAGCAGCUGCUUUUGAAGCAUGUUCCAGCUGCAACCACGUGCUUGGACGACACCAGCUCUUCCCACAUACUCUUCCCCAGCUCUUGUGUUGAGUUUGGCUUCCACCUUCCUUCAGCUGAGAAAUAGACCUAGAACACAGCCUCAGAUAAUUCUCACGGUGGGAGGUUUCAAAGAUGAUGAAAAACAUCAUGAUACCAGACACAACACCUCAAGGAAGAAGGCACAGUGAGUGAGACACAGCAGACACGACUGACUGCAGAACCAAUCCUGCACACUCUUAGACACUGGAAUUGUCUAAGCAUCAGAACGGACACGAUUGCUAAGAAUUCCUUCAGAUCUGCCCAUGGCGUGGAGCCACUUCUUCAACGUUCCAGAGCCUAAACCCUGCGAAUCAUGGGUUGCUGGCUGGCAGACGCUUCUCUUGAGAGUUGAUAGUGUCCUUGGGCCAACACUCAACCAAGGAGCCCUGCGGUGAGAUCACCUGUCACUCUAAGGAGAGAAACUGAUUCCUACAGAACAGAGCUGGGCUGCAGUGGCCUCAGGGCAAUAAUGUCACAGGCCUUUGAACGCAUUCAACAAAACUCCCAGUCUCUGGUUAACAAGCAAAUGCGCCUGAAAGAAUGGGACAGAUAAUGACAGGUGAAUGCCCCCCGACCUGUGUGGCCAAUGGCCCGGCAGGACUGGCAUUACUCCAAAAUUGUCAGAAAUGCAGGCUCUCAGGCCCCGCCCCACCACCCAAACCAGAAACCAUGUGGACAAGAUCUCCAGGUGAUUCAAAUGCACAAUAGGCCUGCAUGAGUAAUGCAUAUCAAGAAAUCUUCGCUUCUCUUAACUACCUAGGGGGACACCAAGGGAACCUCCUAGAAGAAGUCAUGGAUGGGAUGGGGCUGGAUGCCACCCCCUCAAAGGAGCACAGACCUGCUGGCCCCCCUCCCUCCCUCUGCAGCCCAAGCUCAUGAGCUGUGGGGAGUGGGAGCAGGGGGUCCCUCCCACAUCCUCAGGAAGAAGCCACCAUGUCAUUGGGAGCCUGUGUUACACAUCAGUGUGUGAGGAAAGAAUCUGGAAACAACUGACUAAGAGGAUGGCAUGAUCUCAGCUCACUACAACCUCUGCUUCCUGGGUUUGAGCGAUUCUCCUGCCACAGCCUCCCGAGUAGCUGGGAUUACAGGCGUGUACCAACACACCCGGCUAAUUUUUUGCAUUUGGAGAUGGAGUUUCACUCUAUUGGCCAGGCUGGUCACAAACUCCUCAACUCAAGUGAUCCACCCACCUUGGCCUCCCAAAAUGCUGAGAUUACAGGCGUGAGCCACCACUCCCAGCCAGGUAGUGACAGUUUUUAGAGGCUCUGGGUGCUUGGCCCUUGCCUUAAACUGAAUGCUUUAAAAGGCCUUUGAUCUCUGUCAAUAAAAUUGCAAGUGUGUACACACAUUUGACUUAACAAUCAUAAUAAUAAAACCUAAUGAACAGUCAAGACA